CGAUCACCAGCUCUCGAUCCAACCGUCGAUUUCCUAUUCCCCUUCUGCCCACCUAAACACAAUUGGAUGCCGCGCACGGCUCGGCGGCGAUGGCGAGAGCGAAGCACGCCCUCUUCCUCCUUCUCCACAGCCGUCGCUUCUUCUCCCUCGAUUACCCGCUCUGCCGCUCCCCCAACACCCUGUCUCCAUCUUAUCCAACCGCUGCCGCGCGUGGCUUCUGCUCCGACGGCAUCUCCGACCUCCGCGACCGCAUCCUCCGCCUCUCCGAGAACCCUGCCUCCGUUUCCGCUGCCUCUGCCGACAAAGAGGCCGUCCGAUCUGCCGUAUCCGCACUAGCCGACGAGCUUCUCGCCCUGCCCGACGGCCAGGAUCCUGCGGUCUCCCUGGGCUCUGGCUCCUUCGACGCCCUCCUCCGCCUUCCCCCAGCUGGAUUCGCCUCCGUCGAGCUCCUCUCCCGCCUCAAGUCCCGCCCGCUCCUCGCCCUUCAGGUUUUUAACUGGAGAAAAGGGCAGGCUGAUGCCGAGAUCCCGAUGCUCCCUGAGGAGUAUUACAAGGCCAUCACCCUGGCGAGCCGCACCAAGAACGUCGAUCUAGCCGCGGAGCUCUUCUCCCAAGCCAUAGCUGACGGCAUCCGUGAGGUCUGCCUCUAUAAUGCCCUCAUGUCCACCUAUAUGUACAAUGGCCUCACCAAGAAGGCGAUCUGGGUAUUUGAGGUCCUGAAGCAAGAUGCCGAGUGCAAGCCCACCAUUGUCAGCUACAACAUUCUGCUUUCGAUAUUUGGCCGCUCCAUGCUCGUGGAGCAUAUAGAGACCACCCUCCAAGCAAUCAAUGAUUCGGAGCUCUCCUACACCAUCACCACCUACAACACAGUCAUAGCCGCAUAUCUUACGGCAUGGAUGUGGGAUAAAAUGGAGGGGAUGUACCAAUCUAUGCUGGAGGGGCCUGUCAAACCUGAUGCUGGUACCCUCCUCCUGAUGUUGAGGGGUUAUGCCUACUCAAACAAUCUAGAGAAGAUGGAAAAGACUUAUGAUCAAGUAAAGGAGACAGUCAAUAAUCGGCAGUGGCCUUUGAUCCAUGCAAUGAUAUGUGCUUAUACUAAGAGUUCUCACCCUGAUCGAGUCAAAAGAGUGGAAGCCUUGAUGAAGUUGAUUCCAGAUGAUGACUAUAAACCUUGGGUCACUGUACUUUUAAUCAAGAUGUAUGCACAGGAGAGCAUGAUUGAAGCAAUGGAAGGAUUAAUAUCCAAGGCAUUCCAACGACACAUUAUAGUGACUACUGCAGGGAUAAUGCGUUCCAUCAUAUCAAAUUACUUCAGAAAUAAUGCGGUGGAUCGGCUAGCUGGGUUCAUCAGACAGGCAGAAUAUGCAGGGUGGCGGCUUUUUCGAUCACUGUAUCACUGCAAGAUGGUGAUGUAUGGGCAGCAGAAUCGCCUGGAGGAGAUGCUUGGUGUUCUGGAUGAGAUGGAGAAUUUCAGGUUUAGUCGAACAAGGAAAACUUUUUUGAUAAUGUACAAGGCAUAUUACAACACAGGGAGGAGGCCAGAGGCAGCAACGGUUAUUGGGAUGAUGUGGAAGCAUGGUUAUGGCAAUGAUGAGGAUGCUUUUGUUUUGUGAAGUUUGAAUAGAUACUGCAGAUGGAAUUAUUAGUUUAUGAUAUACACAAUGAUUCGGAUGAUACAACAGAUGAUUUCUCCAAAACUAAGAAUGCAGACCUUUUAUAGAAAUUGACUAGGGAUUGCUGAUGGAAUUAUUUAGAUUAAUAACAGACUAGCAGAUUAUGAAGUUCUACUUGACCAAUGCUGGGAAUUUGCAUAAUCUAGCUGAUUGGUCAAAUGUUAAAGUGAAGAAUGGCUGUUCGUUUUGCUUGAUUGACUUCUUGUGCAUAUCCCACAUUUGUAUCUAUAGAAGAGCUAUGACAAACCCCCAAAUAAUUCAGACAUGCCGGAUGCUGUUGUACCAAGAAACAGGACAUUACAUUUUUUUUAUUCUCCUUUUUUGUGGUUACUGAAUCCAGAAAUCAAAGAAAGUCAGACAUUGAAGAAAUCUUCUCACAUGAUAUCAGCAUCUCAAGCACCAGAAGAUAAGAGAGGUCAUCAGAUCUUAUGGCAGCUGUUUUUUCUUUUACAUAUAAAGCCUAUGUAGAAUGUUACUGUACUGGGCAUGCCAAUGUCAGCUGGGCAGUUGAAUCGAGAGCAAUGAGCAGCUAGUUGACUAUAUCAAAUAACGUGGCUUAUUUAAUACUUAGUUUGUACGAGCCAGAAAUGAAUGUUGACUUCAACAUGUCAUUGAAUGUGCCA